AGUCCAUGAUAUGGACAAAGUCUCGUCAUAUCCUUGUACCUUUACCAUGCUUCGAAAAGUUACUCUUCAUCUUUAUGUUUGAAUCUGUUGAUUUGGCUUCUUAGCAU